rnacentral:piRNA from 1 species
UUUGAUACAUAGCUUUUCCAG